UGGGGAAUCUUGCGCAAUGGGCGAAAGCCCGACGCAGCAGCGCCGCGUGCGGGAAGAAGGCUUUCGGGCUGUAAACCGCUUUCAGCAGGAACGAAAAUGACGGUACCUGCAGAAGAAGGAGCGGCCAACUAUGUG
rnacentral:rRNA from 1 species